rnacentral:rRNA from 1 species
GUUGAACGCUGGCGGCGUGCUUAACACAUGCAAGUCGAACGGUGAACACGGAGCUUGCUCUGUGGGAUCAGUGGCGAACGGGUGAGUAACACGUGAGCAACCUGCCCCUGACUCUGGGAUAAGCGCUGGAAACGGCGUCUAAUACUGGCUAUGUGACGUGACCGCAUGGUCUGCGUUUGGAAAGAUUUUUCGGUUGGGGAUGGGUUCGCGGCCUAUCAGCUUGUUGGUGAGGUCAUGGCUAACCAAGGCGUCGACGGGUAGCCGGCCUGAGAGGGUGACCGGCGACACUGGGACUGAGACACGGCCCAGACGCCUACGGGAGGCAGCAGUGGGGAAUAUUGCACAAUGGGCGCAAGCCUGAUGCAGCAACGCCGCGUGAGGGAUGACGGCCUUCGGGUUGUAAACCUCUUUUAGCAGGGAAGAAGCGAAAGUGACGGUACCUGCAGAAAAAGCGCCGGCUAACUACGUG